UAUCGCGCGAUCGCCUUGAGUUUGAUCAUGGCUCAGCCUGAACGCUGGCGGCGUGGCUAAGACAUGCAAGUCGCACGGAGGUAGCAAUACCUCAGUGGCGAACGGGUGAGUAAUGAAUCGCUAAUGUGCCCCGGACUCUGAGAUAGCCAGUCGAAAGAUUGGGUAAUAUCAGAUGAUAUGCAGCUGUCGCAUGACAGUUGCCUCAAAGGUCCGCCGGUCUGGGAGCAGGCGAUUUCGUAUCAGCUAGUUGGUGAGGUAACGGCUCACCAAGGCGACGACGCGUAACCGGACUGAGAGGUUGGCCGGUCACAUUGGGACUGAGACACUGCCCAGACUCCUACGGGGGGCUGCAGUAACGAAUCUUCCGCGAUGCACGAAAGUGUGACGGAGCGACGCCGCGUGUAGGACGAAGCCCUUCGGGGUGUAAACUACUGUCAGGGGUUAGAAAGUUCUGAUCAACCCCAGAGGAAGGGACGGCUAACUCUGUGCCAGCAGCCGCGGUAAGACAGAGGUCCCGAGCGUUAGGCGGAAUCACUGGGCUUAAAGCGUGUGUAGGCGGAUGCCUAAGUACCUUGUGAAAUCCCACGGCUUAACCGUGGAACUGCUUGGUAUACUGGGUGUCUUGAGCCACUUAGGGGCUACCGGAACAAAUGGUGGAGCGGUGAAAUGCGUAGAUAUCAUUUGGAACGCCAAUGGUGAAAACAGGUAGCUGGGAGUGUGCUGACGCUGAGACACGAAAGCCAGGGGAGCGAACGGGAUUAGAUACCCCGGUAGUCCUGGCUGUAACC
rnacentral:rRNA from 1 species